GUUGGACUGAAGAGUCCACACUGCAUACUGGAGACUUAGCCUGUCAGGCUGUCUGAUCUCAGAGGAAAGCUGUUCUUCUCUCGUCUCAGCUCUGAGCUCCAACCCCUACCAUCUGAGAGAGCUGGACCUGAGCUACAAUCAUCCAGGAGACUCAGGAGUGAAGCUACUGUCAGCGGGACUGAAGGAUCCUCUCUGGAGACUGGACACUCUCAGGGUGGAGCCUGCUGGAGUCAGAUGGUUGACACCAGGUCCAUGGAGAUAU